rnacentral:tRNA from 1 species
GGCCUUAUAUUCUAAGAAAGAUACUAGGCUGCAAUCCUAGAGAUGUAAAUUUACUAAGGCUU